UUAAAACUGCCUUAUUUAGUGUUUUGUAUAAUCACAUAGCUGGAAACUGUGCUUAGCAUUACACUUUGAAGAAAGCUACUAAUUUUUGCUUGGAGUAAGCCCCACUGUGAGUGACAGCUGCCAUGUAGUCUGCAGCAUUAUGAGUCACUGUUUCCAUGUAGUCUGCAGCACUGUGAGCCUCUGUCUUCAUGUGGUCUGCAGCACUGUGAGCCUCUGUCUUCAUGUGGUCUGCAGCACUGUGAGCCUCUGUCUCCAUGUAGUCUGCAGCACUGAGUCACUGUCUCCAUGUAGUCUGCAGCAGUGUGAGUCACUGUCUCCAUGUGGUCUGCAGCACUGUGAGCCUCUGUCUCCAUGUGGUCUGCAGCACUGUGAGCCUCUGUCUCCAUGUGGUCUGCAGCACUGUGAGCCUCUGUCUCCAUGUAGUCUGCAGCACUGAGUCACUGUCUCCAUGUAGUCUGCAGCAGUGUGAGUCACUGUCUCCAUGUGGUCUGCAGCACUGUGAGCCUCUGUCUCCAUGUAGUCUGCAGCACUGUGAGCCUCUGUCUCCAUGUAGUCUGCAGCACUGUGAGCCUCUGUCUCCAUGUAGUCUGCAGCACUGUGAGCCUCUGUCUCCAUGUGGUCUGCAGCAUUAUGAGUCACUGUUUCCAUGUAGUCUGCAGCACUGUGAGCCUCUGUCUCCAUGUAGUCUGCAGCACUGUGAGCCUCUGUCUCCAUGUAGUCUGCAGCACUGUGAGCCUCUGUCUCCAUGUAGUCUGCAGCACUGUGAGCCUCUGUCUCCAUGUGGUCUGCAGCACUGUGAGCCUCUGUCUCCAUGUAGUCUGCAGCACUGAGUCACUGUCUCCAUGUAGUCUGCAGCAGUGUGAGUCACUGUCUCCAUGCAGUCUGCAGCAGUGUGCAGGGUUUCUACCCUCUGAUGGAGCGAGACGUUCAGAGUUCGGCCUCUGCGCAUUUUGGAAUUUUUUUUUUUUUUCUGAACUAUGAAAAAAAAACUGAGGAAACACUCAAUGGACCGGCGCAGCAGUCAGCUGACCCCGCCUGCAUGCUCUUGUGUUUGUGUGUGUGACGAUGCACAGCACAGCUCUCGCGACACACCAGACCACAAAAGAACUGGCACAAAGGAACUCUCUCUCACUUUCAGUUUUACUCUGAAAAAUGCUAAUCGCUCGACCAGAGGAACACGUUCUUGGAGGAAAAAUGUGAUGACCAACCAAAGCUGACCGCUGUAGGUUUCGGUUAACUGAACUGCAGGAGGAGCCAAGGCUUCUCUGUGUUUUCAGGUCACUGUUUAUCCUUCCCUGACCCCACUUGAACUCUCUCAACAGGAAGUCAUCCAACAGGAAGUAUUACUCAGUGCGUGUAAGUCCAUUGAAGAUGACAGUUUCAGAGAAGCAGACGCUGCGAUAUCUGGCACCUUUCCCAGAGGAGGGCUUCACGCGGUCACGUCUUGUCAGUGGAUCUCCCUUUAAGGGCGACGUUUCCGUGGUGCUCUGCCGCGAGGCGGAGCCAGCGGUUCUUUCACUAGGGUUCUCCUCUGUGGUUCAGAGGUCAAAGGUCAACCCUGCAGCAUUCAGUCGCGUCCCGGUCAGCUCCUCCCACUGCUAGACCGUCAUCUCUCUCGUAACUGUAGCAACCCGUGGAGGUCCACGCAGUUCUGUCUGCUGAGAAGAUUCCAGAAUAUCGUUGUGUUGUGUUCUGGUUCUUCUUAAAUCAUCAUUCAGAGCUCAUCAAGGCCUGGUUAUAUUUUUCCUUCUUAAAAAAUUGUUUUCUCUAUGAAUUGCAUAAUUUUGAAUCGCCUGGCAAGAACAUGUUCCUCUUUUAAAGACAACAAAUCGGUCUGUAGGACUGGUGCUUGGCCACGGCCACUAUGGUCAGUAUAUGGAAGUAACGGCUGAUUUUUUACAUUUUAUUUUUUUCUGUCUGUCUGUACGUACUCUGAGGUGAGGAUUAUCUCCUAGUGAACAAUAGCACUGUUUAAGCUCUGGUUGUAGAACUUCACCAUGUAAGUGCAAUUUGCUGUAGGGCUCUAAUUUAUUUUUUCUUUUUUGUUAAGGUCACCCUGUCUCACUCUGUACAUUUAAGUGUAAUCUAGAUGUAAAGACUGCUUUAGAGAACACGGCACUGAUUUGUAUUUCCUUUGUAUAUUGAUCAAAAGUUUGGAACGUGUACUAGUAUGGUCGCAGCAAUUUUGUACAACAUAGAAUUUCUCCUAGUAAAAUGUCUUUUAGAAAUGCA